rnacentral:rRNA from 1 species
CAGCCGCCGCGGUAAUACGAAGGGGGCUAGCGUUGUUCGGAAUAACUGGGCGUAAAGGGCGCGUAGGCGGAUCUUUAAGUCAGGGGUGAAAUCCCAAGGCUCAACCUUGGAACUGCCUUUGAUACUGGAGAUCUUGAGUCCGGGAGAGGUGAGUGGAACUGCGAGUGUAGAGGUGAAAUUCGUAGAUAUUCGCAAGAACACCAGUGGCGAAGGCGGCUCACUGGCCCGGUACUGACGCUGAGGCGCGAAAGCGUGGGGAGCAAACAGGAUUAGAUACCCCUGUAGUCCCUGUCUCUUAUAA